AGGUUUCAGCUCCCUCACAAGAAAUAAUAAAACUGCUUUCACAUUAAGUUUCAAACAUCAAGAGCCUCACAUCUCACCUAUAGGCCUAGCCGUUGGUGGAAAGCAGCAAAGUACAGGAUCUUAUGUCUGCUGCACAGCUCCAAUAAUGAAUCCAGGAGUGAUGAUGAGGAGAUGAAUUGGUGUUCAUUAGUUGGAAGCAGUCAGGUGCAAGCAGAUACACGCCACAGUACAAAGAUUCCUCCAACCUACAUACUGUACCUCGCCAGUUUAAACAGUCACCUGCAGUCCUGAUGGAGACAGGACAGGAGGAUUGUACCUGGACUGACUGUAGACGCCGGGGCAGUAGAGGAGAGCCGUCAUUAGAUACUGGUGAGGACAGAGGCUGCUGAGCACCAAACUGAUUCCAUACAGAGAGGUCAACACGAACACAGACAGGAUACAGUGGUGGUCCAGACGCUGGACACAGGAUCCACAGGUUCGACAGUGUCCGGCUCGAGGGGGUCGCAUUAUUUUGCACACAGGACAGUUGCUCCAUUUUGCAGCCACGGCCGCUUUUGUUGUCUGGAACUCUGCUGAAGUCCCUGAGGAGGCUGCUGAUUGGAUAGAUCCUUUAAGGUGUGCGGAGCCC